rnacentral:rRNA from 1 species
AUGCAGAAAAGCAUGCGCAAGCGAAGAGGCAAGCACAUAGGUUGCUUUAACAAAAAGCAAAAUGCUAGCAGAACAGAACUUAUGCAACGACCUAUCCAUCCAGAUAUUACAUUUGAAGAUGGAUUUGGUAACUUGGUUAAAUCCUGUCAAAGUUCCUCGAGUGAACGCACCAAACAGAUUGAGUCAGAACUAUCAGAAAGUUUUGUCUCCCUUGCUUCAUUCGUUGAUGGUACGCAUGUGAUUAACUCUUUUGAAGAGGAAUUUGAGGAUAAUACCUGGAGCACACUCAGUGAAAAUGUUGCUUUAACUAUGUCUGAAUGUGUCGUCUCACUUGCUUCAUUCAAUGGAAAUUCAAGGUGUUUUGCUUGCACAGGCGUAUAUAUAAACUGUAAUCCCGUGAGAAUCCUUACUACAGCAAGUUUGGUUAAAACUUCUGGCGAUGGAAACAAGAUUGAUGAUAACUUGCGGAUUGAAGUGCACCUUAAUAAUAAACAACAUGUCACGGGGACAUUGAAACAUUAUGAUCUACGCUAUAAUGUUGCAGUUGUUGAGAUCAUGGGUUCCUACAGUUCUUGUGCAGUGGAUGUGGAAGAGCGUAUUUCUUUCACCCCUAAUAUUGAGGUUUUAGCUGUAGGGCGUCUCUUUGAACGUCCAAAAUUAAUGGCCUCAAGAGGGGUGUUAAUUGACAGAAAAAGCAAACUUGCUUGCGAAGAGCUUGGGAUUUCCACUUGUAAAAUCACCUAG